rnacentral:siRNA from 1 species
GAAGUUACUAGAAUAUGUGGCUG